rnacentral:rRNA from 1 species
CCUACGGGAGGCAGCAGUGGGGAAUUUUGGACAAUGGGCGCAAGCCUGAUCCAGCCAUUCCGCGUGCAGGAUGAAGGCCCUCGGGUUGUAAACUGCUUUUUCACGAGCUUCGGUACCGUAAGAAUAAGCACCGGCUAACUACGUGCCAGCAGCCGCGGUAAUACGUAGGGUGCAAGCGUUAAUCGGAAUUACUGGGCGUAAAGCGUGCGCAGGCGGUGAUGUAAGACAGGUGUGAAAUCCCCGGGCUUAACCUGGGAACUGCAUUUGUGACUGCAUCGCUGGAGUGCGGCAGAGGGGGAUGGAAUUCCGCGUGUAGCAGUGAAAUGCGUAGAUAUGCGGAGGAACACCGAUGGCGAAGGCAAUCCCCUGGGCCUGACUGACGCUCAUGCACGAAAGCGUGGGGAGCAAACAGGAUUAGAUACCCUUGUAGUC